rnacentral:tRNA from 1 species
GGACUCAUAAGCCCAAGGUCGCAGGUUCAAUUCCAGCUUGAGC